rnacentral:rRNA from 1 species
AAUGAACGCUGGCGGCGCGCCUAAUACAUGCAAGUCGAGCGAGAAGACGUAGCAAUACGUUUGUAAAGCGGCGAACGGGUGAGGAAUACAUGGGUAACCUACCCUCGAGUGGGGAAUAACUAGCCGAAAGGUUAGCUAAUACCGCGUACGCUCCUUGGACUUCGGUUCAGGGAGGAAAGCGAUACCGUGGGUAUCGCGCUCUUGGUUGGGCUCAUGUCCUAUCAGCUUGUUGGUGAGGAACGGCUCACCAAGGCUUUUCGACGGGUAGCUGGUCUGAGAGGACGAUCAGCCACACUGGCACUGCGACACGGGCCAGACUCCUACGGGA